UGGGCGUGGCCUGGAAGGAAAAACAGCUGAGUAACGAGUCUGGAGAUCUGGAGCAAGACAGUGGGAUUUCUGUAGAUUUUCCUGAGAAAUAACCGAUUUAGAUUCUUUUCCAACCCAUUAUUUCAUUUUUGAGUUUGAUCUUUUUGGACUCUCAGUUGUUGCAUGUUGGAUUUACCUCUCUGGACCAUUUUUUCUCCAGAACCGCGCAUCAUACUUUGGACCGGCACCUCUCCAUGUGACUUCCUUUGUUCCUCUGAGAACAAAGUCCCUCCCCUCCCCAGUCGCUCCAGAAAAGAGGAGGAGAAAAGAAAAACACAGAAGAAGAGAGGCAAAAGCUAAUGAACAUGUUGCAGUGUGACAGUGGAAGAAGAGGAAACUGAAGAGGCGGUGAAGGUUCACUGGAGAUCUCCUCCCACCAGACAGACCAGCAGCAUCCAGAAAGAACAGACCUUCUCCAUCUUCAGGAAGCAACGAAGUAUCGAUUAAAAAGACAG